GGCCUUCUUCCUCUUCUUUUUGAAUGCCAUUUAGCAGCAACAGCUAAAAUUUUCAGCACACGUAUUAAUGCAUCUUCCAGAUAUAUAUGGAAGACUGACAGAAUCUCCAUCACCUUCCUUAGAUGCUCUGGCAGUUGAACUCCACGGGUCUUAAAGUUACUGAGAAUGGGAAAUAUUGGUGUAGAAGAAAAGAAAUUAGUCCAAGAAAUGUUGACUCUCAGGAUCUACUACCAAGGUUGGACUACUGUAAUGUGCUGUACAUAGAGUUUUGAAGACGACCCACCAGUUGCAAUGGGUUCAAAAUCAAACAGUCCAGCUUCCAUCUAGAAACUGCAAGAUUUUGGUUUAAAAUGCUUACAUUACACCAAGACAAACACUCAGGCAAGUAGAGAACAGCUUUCAACUUUUAAACGGAACAAUUAAUGUCCCUAAAUCAUAGACUUCCAUUUACCAAAUAAAAUGAAAACGAAAUGUGUAAUGACAAAGAGUGAGAUUGACCAAACUGCUCCAAUUCUGAAACCCUUCAGCUUUGAAUAUGUUUAGAAGUUAAGAUGCAACAAAAUACUCAUCCUUGCCCUACCACAAAAUUGUAAUAGAUCCAAAUUCAAAUCUUCAAUUUCACCAAGCAUUAGAUGCAGAAGUAAGCUUUAUAAAUAAAAAACAUCCUGCAAUUUUA